UACGUAGGGGGCAAGCGUUGUCCGGAUUUAUUGGGCGUAAAGAGCGUGUAGGCAGCUUGGUAGGUCCGCUGUGAAAACUCGAGGCUCAACCUCGAGAUGUCGGCGGAAACCACUUGGCUAGAGUCCGGAAGAGGAGAGUGGAAUUCCUGGUGUAGCGGUGAAAUGCGCAGAUAUCAGGAAGAACACCUAUGGCGAAGGCAGCUCUCUGGACGGUACUGACGCUGAGACGCGAAAGCGUGGGGAGCGAACAGG
rnacentral:rRNA from 1 species